rnacentral:lncRNA from 1 species
UUUUUUUAGUCUGCAUAUAAUGUUUGGUCAAAGUCAAGCUUAAUAAAGUUUGACUAACUUUAUAUUAAAAAAAUAUUAACAUUCACAACAUGAAAUCAAUGUUAUCAGAUGCACCACGAGAUGUAUUUUCAUAUUAUAUAAUUUUAAUAUAGUAGAUAUUCAUAUUUUUCGAUAUAAAUUUGGUCAAACUUUAUGUUGUUUGACUUUGACCAAAUCUUAUACGCAGAGUAAAAAGAAACGGAGGGAGUAUUAUAUUAUUAUUACAAUGAUAGAAAACGAACGGCUUAAAUCUAUAUUUAUAUCUACGUCUAUAUCCAUAUCUAUAUCUAUAUCUACAUCUAUAUCUAUAUCUGUAUCUAUACCUAAUCUUUACCUACUAUUAAUAUCAUAAUUAUAAUUGUAUUAUAGAAUAAUACUAAUACUAAUACUGAUACUGAUACUGAUACUGAUACUGAUACCACCUAGACACAUCUACCACCUAGACACAAGGACAAUGCCACCUAGACACAUCCGCGGAAGAAAAAACUGGAACGGGGGUACCAGAUUUGUGGACACACAUCAUCCUCCACAUGCCUCCUAGCGAUACGAAGAAGCACCACUUAAAUGAAGGUGAGUCAGGCAGACCUUAUUCUACAACAAGGGAUGCCAUCGUGUCGCCGCCGUAGAUCAGAGACAUCANNNNNNNNNNNNNNNNNNNNNNNNNNNNNNNNNNNNNNNNNNNNNNNNNNNNNNNNNNNNNNNNNNNNNNNNNNNNNNNNNNNNNNNNNNNNNNNNNNNNUAAGAUAGCAUGCAUUAAGAGUGCCCCGAAGAUCUGAAAAAUGAGACGAUCCAAGCACCUAUAAAAUGUAGGGUCUCUCUCGAACUCCACUAUUCAGUCUUCACAUCUUUGUGAAAUGACUAUAAGAAGGAGGACCAUGCUGAUUACUCUUCUCGUUGUUUUGCUCGCCUUUUCAGGUAUUAUCAUCCAUCUAUGUCAUAUAUGUACUUCAUCUUGAGACAAUUAAUAUACCCAAUAUAUGUCUAACGCCAAAUUGGUUGGUAAAUUCGUACCAAGAUGCCCAGAGAAGGACUAUUAACUUUUUGUGUGUUUCACUUGUUAAUUUCGUUUCUGGUUUGAACAACAGGCCCAAUCAAAGGAGAAGAUCAGUUGGGAAGAGGUGAUGGCGGUGACUUGGCCCCUCCUUCGGAUCCAGGGAGCAGUCACUUGGCUCCUCCUCCACCUCCUCCAUAUCGAAAGAUCAAUGCACCUCCACCUCCGAAGACAGAUUUGCCUCCUCCUCCACCUCCACCUCCAAAGACUGAUCUUACCCAGCCGCCUUCAGGAUCAUGUGUGGAAGUGAAGUUGUACAGAGGGCCGUGCAUCAACAUGCUUUGCGCUGGUGCAUGUAUCGCACAGUUGCAUCAGGGCGGCCACUGUCGUGGGAGUAUUUUUACUGGUGGUUGCUAUUGUUUCGUGUGUUCCAUAACAAAGUCUAGUCCGGCAUUACAUUGAUGUGGAACAUGCAAAAUGUGGCUUGAGUUUUUUAUUGGUUCAAUCCAACAAUAAAGGAUGUGCUUAUUAUUGUAUUUCUCUUUUAAUAACGAAAAUUAAGUGAAUAGGCUUUCUACUCUGUUCGAGUGUCUAGAACGAUUCGACCUCCUUACAACAAUGUUUCUAAGGGGAUAUUCAAGAUCCACACCCAAUUCUUUGUCCCAGCAGAAACUAUCCUUUAGCUACUGGGUCGCCUAUACUCCCUUACUGGAUUUGCAUGUUGUCGGAAAUUCCACCUCUUNNNNNNNNNNNNNNNNNNNNNNNNNNNNNNNNNNNNNNNNNNNNNNNNNNNNNNNNNNNNNNNNNNNNNNNNNNNNNNNNNNNNNNNNNNNNNNNNNNNNUUUUUAAUUGAAAAUAACAAAAUAGAUAAUAGUUUGGAUAGUCAAAAUUAUUAAUUAUGAAAAUAGAAAAAAAUUGAAACUAUAUGAGAAUUCAUAGAGAAAAUUCAAAUCUAAAUUCACUUUGAAUUUAGAUUGAAUUUUCUCUACAAUUUCGAAUAUAGUUUCAAUUUUCAGCGAGUUUAGGUCCGUAAGCCUGCUUUAGAGAGGAGCUCGAUGGAGAAGCUGCGACGGGGCUUAUAAACAAGUGUUAGUCCCCCUCGCUGGGCGAGGUGGGACUAAACUUAUCGUGUAGCCGAGGAGGGGCUUUAGUCCCGGGUGGAGCCACGCCCCGGGACUAAAGACCCCCUUUAGUCCCGGGUGGAGCCACGCCCCGGGACUAAGGACCCCCUGCUUCCCGCCUCCUGGUCUGCCCGAAAAGAGGCCUUUAGUCCCGGGUCGUGGCUCCAACCGGGACUAAAGGGGGNNNNNNNNNNNNNNNNNNNNNNNNNNNNNNNNNNNNNNNNNNNNNNNNNNNNNNNNNNNNNNNNNNNNNNNNNNNNNNNNNNNNNNNNNNNNNNNNNNNNNNNNNNNNNNUUCGACCCACGCGCGGGGACUAAAGAUCCACCUAUAUAAGCGGGACUUCGAAAAAUUCCAGCCCAAAUCGUUCAUUUCUUUUCUUCUUCCUCUUUUUCUCCUGCCCGGCGCGGCACAGCGACGAACUCGACGACGCCGUCAGGCUGCCUGCCGUCCUGCUCGCCGCCGCCUGUCGUCCUCCUCGCCGUCGCGCCGUCCUCCUCGUCGUCGCGCCGUCCUCCUCGCCGCCGCGCCGUCCUCCUCGCCGCGGCCGGUAAGCCCCCCCGCCCCCUCCUCCCCAACACUGCGGCCAGUAGAAGAAAAGAAGAAAAAGGAGAAGAAAAGAAGAAAAAGGAGAAGAAAGGAAGAAAAAGGGAAGAAAAGAAGAAAAACAAUUUUUUGUCAUUUAAUUCCUAUUGUUAUUAGGUUUGUGUAGAUUAUUAGGGUUAGUAAUAUUUUGAAUUAGUAAAAAGGAAAAUAAGAAGAGGAGGAGAAUAAAAGAAGAAAAAGGAGAAUAAGAAGAGGAGGAGAGGAGAAGAAGAGGAAAAAUAGAAGAAGAGGAGAAGUAGAAGAAGAGAAAAAAUUAGAAGAGGAGGAGAGGAGAAGUAGAAGAAGAGAAGAGGAGAAGUAGUAGAAGAAGAGGAGAAGUAGAAGUAGAAGAAGAAGUAGAAGAAGAGGAGAAAUAGAAGAAGAGGAAAAAUUAGUUUAGGGUUACAAGAACAAGAAAUAUUGUAUAGUGUAUAUGCUUAAGUGUUAAUAGUGUUUCUUAGAUUAUUGCUUAAUUUUGCUAUUGUAUAUGCUUAAGUGUUAAUAGUUUAAUUUUCCUAUUCUAUAUGCUUAAGUGUUAAUAGUUUAUUUUUAGCAAGAAAAUUAACUAGUUUAUUUUUUUAGUUCAUUUUACGAUGCCUGUCCUGCAUCCUCGUCGUCGACUCGGCGGAGGACACCUGCUUGAUCAGAGGGGCCCUGUUCGGGACUGGGCUCCGCCCGGCUGGUAUUGGGAGGUGCUACCUUCCGGGAGGCGUAGGUUGGUGAGGAGCCAGCUCGUCGUUGACCCGAUCCUUGUUUGGUGGCGGUCGCGUGGGCCAGUGAGGGUGCCGAGGCUUCCGGACACCGCGGAGGUGGUAUGUCACCGUGUCAGCGAGGAGGAUGAGCACGUCCGUCGCUACAUGGUUGCGUUGGAGGGCAGGUUCGAGCAUACCUGGCAGGUUCUUCGGGGAUCUCACUGGAGCUAUGAUCCUGUGAUGGUUCCUUCNNNNNNNNNNNNNNNNNNNNNNNNNNNNNNNNNNNNNNNNNNNNNNNNNNNNNNNNNNNNNNNNNNNNNNNNNNNNNNNNNNNNNNNNNNNNNNNNNNNNGCGGAGGCGGCCGGCUGGUGACCCCGUUCCCGCCACGCCUGCCCGUAACGGACAGCGCUGGGUGGGCCCUGCCGCCACCUCCCAAGGCGGACGGCCGCUCUGUGCUGCUCUUCCCGCUCGAGGCAUGUGGUAUUGGAUGUAUUUCGCUGAGUACGAGGCCGCGCUUCCCGCUCGAAAUUUUGCCGCUCUAAGUUGCAUGUGGUAUUGGAUGUAGUCCAUCCGUUCCAAAAUAUAAGACCUUUUAGGUAUUUCAUUCGGAGACUACAUACGGAACAAAAUGAGUUAAUUUAUACUCUAAAGUAUAUCUAUGUACAUCCGUAUGUAGUUUAUUAUACAAUUUCUAAAAUGCCUUAUAUUUAGCAACGGAGGGAGUUUAUUUUUUACGGAGGGAGAUUUCCUAAAUAUAAGUUUUUUAAAAAGUUUGUACUAGAAGACUACAUAUGAUGUAUAUGGACUCAUUUUAAAAUGUAGAUUCUGUCAUUUUGCUUUGUAUAUAGUCAUGUGCGCCUAAGUUUCCCGCUGCAGUUUCCCGGCUAAAUUCCCACGCGUUAUUUUCUCACCUAAGUUUCCCGCCAAAUUNNNNNNNNNNNNNNNNNNNNNNNNNNNNNNNNNNNNNNNNNNNNNNNNNNNNNNNNNNNNNNNNNNNNNNNNNNNNNNNNNNNNNNNNNNNNNNNNNNNNGGUGUCCACCGCCCGCGCCGAUACCCGUCGGGCGCUACGGUUCUAGAUGUAUCAGUGAUGCUAUAUGUAUGAUAGUAUUCGAGGAGUAUUAGUGAUAAUAUUCGACGAUGUACGGACAAAAGAGAUGAUGUAUUUGCUUAUAAUUGAAUGCAUGCUAAUUUGAAUACUACUUUAUUUUACGAUUUGGUUUUGCUUAUUGAAUGCUCAAAUUGGAAAAGUACUCCUACUUUGAAUACUAUGCAGAAAUCAAGGAGUCCCGGGUGGAGCCACGACCCGGGACUAAAGUUGGUUUGGAACGGAGUUCCUGAUAGAAUAAUUCUCUUUUGGUACAAAGGUUAAGAGAAUCCGUUUUUUGCAGAACUAUGGAUCCGCAUAUCAGGAACUUCGAAGAGGAAGAACUUCUCGAAGAUAUAAUCAAAGACAACCCCGACGUUGAACCAGCUGAAUCUCCGUCGUCAUAUCUAAACCACGAAGUUGGAAUGGAGGUCGAGCGACACGAAGAUGAAGCCGAUGGGGCAGGAGAUAGGUCCAAUGAUGGAGAAGUUGAUAGCUCCACUGAUGGAGAAGCUGGUGAAGAAAUAAUAAAGUCCGGCGAGGUAUACAUAUGAAGUUCGACAAUCACUUGUAAUAUGUGAAAAAUAUUGAAGAUAGCUCUAUAUUGUAUACAUAUACAUUCAUUUGACGAAUGUUUCUCCCUCUUAGGCCUCCACAUCGAGCAAAACUACGAAACGAGGCCCGACUAGAAAGUUGGAUGCACGGACGCAUUACACCUUUGAGGUGAUAUUGCCUACGGGCGAACCCAAGCUUCCUAAGAAUGUUGCUGACACAUUCAAGAAGCAAUGCGGAGCUGUCGUUAGGGAUCACGUCCCGAUCAGCGUUCGGGAGUGGAACAAGCGCAAAGGGGCAGCCGAUAGUGACUAUGUCGCCGAAAGGUAAAAAGAUAAUCUUUGGAAUGAUCUCAUGUCACAUUUCAACCUGCCAGAAUGUGAGAAUGAAGACGCCGCAGACAAACUGACGGCCAAAGUCAAGCAGUGGACUCUGAAGAAGAUGGUCGAACUGUUCCAUAGCUGGAAGAAGAAGCUAUGUAAAAACUAUCUGAAGACACAGAAAGUGCCAGUAUUCGAGGGGUAUCUAGCCAAGCAGGUGAAUCACUGGAAGGCAUUUCAAGAGUACAAGGAGUCAGAAGAUGCCCAGACAUUAUCAGAAAAGAACAAGAUAAAUGCCGACAAGAAGAUAUAUCACCACAAGCUGGGGCGAGGGGGCUAUGAGACUGCCAUCCCAAAGUGGGAUAAGAAAGAGCAAGAUCUGAUAGAUAAAGGCGUUGUACCUGAACCACUCCGUGAUGAGUGGGAAUUGAGAGCAAGAAAUUGGUUCCUUGCGCAUGAUGGGUUGUACGACGAAACAACAGGGGACCUCAUCUGCAAUGACAAUCUUAGGAUACCCAGGGAGAAUUGGAAAAGGAUGGUGAAAGAAAUUAAGGAGGGAAGAAGAAAGUUCACUGCAGAUAGAGAGAAAGAUUUGCUCAUAGUGGUCCUCGGCAAUGACGAACAUGGAGGACGAACGCGAGGCUUUGGUCCUUCUUACCCGUGGUGGCUUGGGUUUGCCAGAGACCAAGACACUUACAGAAGCCGAGAGAGAGCAAAGAAGCGGCAGCAGGAUGAGGAGAAUGACAAGUUCAACCAGUUGCUUGCCAAGAUUAGCGAGCAACAGAAGCGGAUUGAUGAGCUUAGAGGAGUACCGCGCCAGGAAGAUCCUGCAGUUGAUAUUACCGGCGCCCCAUCUAACCGGAAAAGCAGCGUGGCUGAAUCUGAGGCCCCGCCCGACGAUGAACGAAGAAUGAUAGAGGGCGGUCCCGGCUACCCCUUGGAUGGAAUCAAGGAGUCAACAUCAUGUGAACUCCAUCAGAAAUUCAAGAACAUAUCCAUGAAGGUGGCCAUCGGANNNNNNNNNNNNNNNNNNNNNNNNNNNNNNNNNNNNNNNNNNNNNNNNNNNNNNNNNNNNNNNNNNNNNNNNNNNNNNNNNNNNNNNNNNNNNNNNNNNNGGGCGGCGGACCUGAUGUGCGGCGGCGUUCGUGGCCCCAUGGCCGGCCGUGGUCGGGUUGGAUGGCGACGGAGGCGCUCCAUACGGCGAGGGCAGCGGCUGGCGCAAGGGCGGUCAUCGAGGGCUGUGGAUCUGGCGUUUCCUGUCCAGAUCCGUCACGGCUUGGACUUCUUCGGUCUGUGGCGCGAGGAGGAUCGGUGUGGGGUGGCGAGGCCUCUGCCGGCAUGGCGACGGCGGUCUUCGUCUACAUGACGUGCCUCCCUCGGUUCCAUCCAGUCACGAGAUCGGGGGGUCGCGACUUCCGGUGAAAACCGCGCCGACCUCGGUCAUGGCGAACGAUGGCGGCGUCUAGGACGUCGUUACCAGCCCAUGGCAUCGUUGUUGCAGGUCGUGGCACCACACUCGUGAUGCUCCGAGGGAAACCUUAGAUCGGGAUCUACCGGUCGGACGAUGAUGGCAUCUUCGAUGUCAUUUCCCUCAUGAGGGCAUCAUUUUGGAGUACGUGCUGGGUGGAGGGGACAAGAGGAGGAGCGGUGUUUGGUCUACUGUGAGCCAUACGGUGUAGCCCGGCGGCAUGGCGCUGCGGUGGUUCGUCGACAGGCACGUGUAGGCGGACACGUGCAGGAUGGUGGCGCUGUCUGGCACCGUGGUGGCGUCGACGGCAGACCUUGCAAGGAUGAUGCGUUUGUUCUAGCUCUGGAGAGGGUACGGUGGUAGAUGGUGGAGGCGGCCUCUGCGCCGGACCAGUUUGGGAUCCAGUCUCAGUGGUGGUUGGGCUGGAGCAUCAGACUAUAGAUGUUAGGAUUUGGUGCGAUAUCUAUUUGGUAUUUGGCCCGGAUAUUCAGCACACCUUCAUCAAGGAAUAGGAGUAGCAACGUGUGUUGUCUAGAUGGUGGCUUCAGGCUGACUGAUGUAUUACUUUGUAUGGUCUCUGUGAAUAAUUAAUAAAAUGACUGUAUGCAUCGUCUAGAUGCAGAGGCCGGGGGUAUAUCCUCCUUUUCUAAAAAAAAAAUCCAUGUUGUUGUUCAUUUAGGAGUUUAUUAAUGGUAACCUUUCCAUUAUGUGCAAAAGAGUGCAAAAGUGUUGCCUUUCAUUAUAACAAAAAGCUAUAACAUUGUUAGUUAAAUCAAGGUUGACCUCCAUGUUCAGUUGUCAGAGCAUGUUUGAAUGUGAUGGUGAACAUAAUGAUAGGUAGGCUCCUGAAGCUUGUUUUUUCAAUUGGGGUUGAAUUAUAUAUUGUUGGUUCAUUCUUCACAAAUUUCCGUUAUACAUAUGUUUUUAGAUUGUGUAAUGGAUGCAAAAAAAUUUCUCUACUCUAUUGAACAACAUAAAUUAAGCAUAAAGAUACCCUAAGGAUAUAAAGUUUUCCCAACAUGUACUAUGGGGGCCUGGAGGGCUCUAUGCUUAAUGAAUUAAAGCCUUUGAAUAAAUGCAUGACGUCCCUCUAUUUAUUAUAGAAAAUCCAUAUAUGUUGAUAGAAAAAAAUAAUAACUAAAAUCCAUUCAGGGUGGAAAAUUAUGUACUAGCAAAAAGUUCAGUAGAAAAUUAGUGAUUAAAUUCAAAGUUUAUCAGCACCAAAACCAACAAAAGUCCUACUUUCUUUCACAACACACAUUAAAUGAGAGAUGUUUUCAAUACAACAAUAAGAUGGAAUGCAUUGGAGCUAUAUAUAAGACAUAUAUUAAAUGCAUAUGAUAUUGCUUAAGGCUGGUCAUAGUGGGGAGUAUCAUAUAGUAGUAUCAUGUAUAUGAUACUAUUGUAUGAUACUACCUUUAUAGUGCAUAGUAUCAUAAACUAGUAUUAUAGAUGACCUCAUUUAUUGACAUGCAUGACACAUACUAAAUAUGUUACGGUAUCUACCUUCAUAGUGCAUGGUAUCAUAAACUAGUAUUAUAGAUGACUUCAUAGUGUACAUCUGACACCGAUCGAAUGGGUUAUCAAAUACGUAUGACAAGGCCUAGAGAACGAGAAUCAAACAUAAGUUUGAUCGUUCUAUCGUCCUAAUUAUUCUGUAUUUGCCUUGUUAAUUUUGUAUUCGGUUUGAACAACAAGCCCAAUGAAAGGAGAACACCAUUUGGAUGCAGGUGGCGGCGGUCUCGUGGCGCCUCCUCCUGGUCAGGAGAGCAGUCAUCUGGCUCCUUCUCCUCAAACUUCUCCAAAGGGUAAUCCAAAUCCACUUCCAGUGACUGGUCAUUUGCCUCAUCCUCGGGCUCCAUUGACCCAGCCGCUUCCAAAAGGCUGUGUGGAAGUGAGGAUAAACGAAGGGCCGUGCUUCCUCGUUGUCUGCGCAGCAGAAUGUCUCCUGGAGUCAUACACGGGCGGCCUGUGUCGUGGUGGACGUCUUCUUUCCGGUGCCUGCUAUUGUGUCCAGUGUCCCGUAGCCAAGACUAGCCCACAUGUGGCUUGAGUUUUCAGUUGAUCUAUAAAAUAAUACUCUCUCCGUCCCAAAAUAACUGUCUCAAGCUUAGUACAACUUUAUAUUAGAGCUAAUUACAAAGUUGAGACACUUAUUUUGGGACGGAGGGAGUAAACGAUAUGGUGAUCGUGUUCCACGAUUAAAUAAAUAAUUGGACAUAUGGCAUGUGUUGCUCCUGCUCGCAUCUUUGUCCUCGUGAUCGCGGGAGCUAUAGAAUUCCUCUGGUUCCCAACAUGAAUAUCUAUAGGCUCUGGAUGGGCUGUAGCAUUUGUCGGCCGUACCAGGCACCUCCUCUCUAGGUUGCAUUCCAUGUGAGAGAGUGAGAAUAAAUGCACAUGAAAAGAUUUACAUAGACUUAGUGAUCUUGGUGUCGAGGCUCCGCAUAGGGAAAAUCGAGCGAUCGUUUUAACUGGACCAGUCCAUUCAAGCGAAACAUCUCCAGAAGGAUUUUCUUGUUUUAGAAGGUCCUUGAUCCGGUUUAUUUUCCGUUUCCUUUUUUUCAUUUCUGUUUCUGUUUCAAAAAAUGUUUUGGAUUUUUAAAAAUUAUUCUUCAAACUCAAAAAUGUUUUUUGCUUUUUUCCAAAAUGUUCUGAAUUUCAAAUAGUUGCUUUUAAAAAAAACAUUCAUAACAUAAAAAAUAUUCGGGACUUUCAAAAAAAUGUUCGGUGUUUUAAGAGAAUGUUCGGUAUUUUCAAACAAUCUACCAAAUAUAAAAAUUCUGUUUAAAUUUUAAACUAAGUUUGUAUUCGAUUUUUUUCUUAAAUUUCGACAAAUGUCCUUGCUUUUAAAAAUGUUCCAAAUUUCAAACAAUUUCCAUUCUUCAAACUUUGUUCAUAAGUGCAAAUCUGUUCUGGAUUUCCAAAAAAUAUUCUGGAUUUUAGAAAAUUGUUUUUCAAAUUCGCAAAAAAUACUAUUUAAAAAAUAAUAUGUUGUAAAUUGAAAAUAGUUGUCGUUUUUAAAAAAAAUCAUAACUUCAAAAAGUUUUCGGUAUUUUUAGAAAAUGUUCGUUAUUUUAUGAGAAAUCUUCGGUAUUUCAAAACAAAUUAAAAUAUCAAAAAUUUGUACAAUUUAUAAUCUAGUUUAGUGUUCAAAAAUUGUUCUGAAAUUUUGAAAACUUUUCUUGAUUUUAAAAAAUGUUCCAAAUUUCGUACAGUUGUCAUUUUUCAAACCUUCAUAAAUUUAAACAAUGUUCUGGAUUUUUAGAAAAUUUUCUUUAAAUUCGAAAAAUGUUUUUGCUUCAAAUUUGAAAAUAGAAGGAAAAGGAAAUAAAAAAGAACCAAAAAAUAAUAAAAAGAUAGGAAAUAAACAGAAAAGGAAAAAGGAACAAAAAAAGAACAAAAAAGGAAAAUAUCAGAUUUUCUUUAGACAAACAAAAAACUGGACCGGCCCAGCCUGGCGAACCCCCUGUGCAUCCGCUCGGCAGUUCGCCGCAAUGACUGGUGCAUAGGAGGCCUCCUCUGUUCGUCCCAAAAUAAAUGCCGUUGAUUUAAUACUAAAUUUACACUAACUUAAUAUUAAAUUAACGACAUUUAUUUUGAGACGGAGGGAGUGUAUACAUAGCAUUGUCUGCCGUGAGCAGCAUGGAGCGAUCGCUUGCUCGCGUCAUGCGCUGUGGUCUAGCCGAUUAUGGGUAUCUGAUAGCUAGUUGGUGCCGGCUUACUAUGGUUUGCUGAUUUCUUUUACCGUUGGGUUUCAUCGUUUUUCCUUUUGGUAUAUAUUUUAAAUAUUCUGAAAUACAUAUAUAAGAAAAAUAUAUGGCUCAUCUUUUUUCAUUUUGAUAUAGAUUUUAAAUAUUCUGAAAUACAUAUAUAUGAAAAAAUGUAAUCCCUCUGAUCUAUAUUAAUUGUCGAAGCUUGAGUACAUAGUUGUACUAAGGAUGCACAAUUAAUUUGGAUCAGAGAGAAUACUAAAUUUUAAAAAUGUAUAAAGAGAAAUCAUCAAUAAUUUUGAUAAUAUUAAUUAUUUAUUUAAAUAAAUAUUCAUUGUGUCUUAAUAAAAUAUUUAUCGUGUAUUUAACAAUAUUUCUCAUGUUUCUUUUAGAUAAUCCCUAGCUGUUAGUAUGGGCUGGUUUCUCGCACUUAAUGGAAGUGGUUCAGGCGGCAUGGGUCGAUCGUCAACACUAUGAAGGACCAAGGACGACUAAUUACAUAUUUCCAGCAUGGACUGGCCCAACGACAUCGACGUCGUUUAUUUUAAAACUCAAUAAGCCUAUCCUGCUUGUUCUGGCCUUUGUAGCACCGUUGUAUCGGGAUCCUAUAGCGCGAAAUCACUAAUAAAAAGUUAUCAGUUGCACACGUCAUUCUCACCUUCAUAAACACUCGCAAGUGGCACAUUGCAUGUGUUUCACUUCUACAUAGCAACCUAUGAUUCUUCUCCUUUCUACAUAAAUUUAUUUAUUCAAAAUGUUUUAUCUAUUGAACCAUAAGUUCGAAUCCUGAACUUUUUUCUUCGAUGAAUUUUCCGCGUCGAGAUCUUUUAGACUACAUCCCAUGUUCAUAGCUUUUGACCAGUUUUUACACGAAAAAAGGAAAAAAACUGAAGAAGGGACCCAAAAACCAUAAAAGCAAUAAAAAUAAGAAAAGGUGAAAACCAAAAUAACUCGUAACCAGAAAAGGAAUGAAGAAAAAAAACAGAAGAUGGAAACACAGUUUUCCCCACUUUUUCUUUUCUUUUGAUAAGCACAACUGUGCUCCACGCGGAAGCAAAUUUGUGCCUCCAUGAGAAGAAAAUAUCUGCUUCUUGUGGAGGCACAUUUUUUUUAGAAGCACAACCUUGCUUCUAACGGAAGCAAAUUUAUGGCUCCACAAGAAGAAAAUAUCUUCUUCUUGUGGAAGCACAUAUUUUUUUUAGAAUCACAACCAUGCUUCUUACCGAAGCAAAUUUAUGCUUCCACAAGAAUCAAAUAUGUGCAUCUCAUCAAAGCACAUACAUUUUCUCUUGUUGAGAAGCACAUUUUAUUUCAAGAAGAACAGUUCAUUCAAGCAUAGCUAUGACUCCAUGAGAAACAAAUGUGUGCUUCUCAUGGAAGCACAUAGUUUUUCCCCUAUUGACAAUCACAUAUGUGUUUCUCAUGGAACCAAAUCUGUGACUCGAUGCAGAAAAAACUAGAACCUUUUUUUUGUCUCUAAAACCUACAGAAAACCAGGCGGAACCGAUAACACGACCCUUCGCCCCUCCCCUCCACACCUAUCUAAAACCCUAAAACAUGUACUAUAGAUAAAAAAAAUGGAAAUCCAAAUAGAGCACCCAGAAUGCAACACGUGGCCACUAUUGGACGCACCACUUCACGUGCUGCCAGGACACCAAAGGUCCAUGAAUGUAAAAAGUAUUAAAGAAUUUGAAAAACUAUUACCAUUUAGAAAAAUUAUUCUCACUGUGUUAAAAUAUAAGACAUUUUUUACACAAGAUUUGAAGAAAUGUUUGCAGUUUUUGAAAGAGUUAUAAAAAAUUAUGAUUUUAAACAAUAUUCUGGAAUUUUAAAUGUGUUAGGUAACUUGAAAAUGUUCUAGAAUUUUUAAAAAACAUUCCCACUUUUAUUAAAGAAUUUUUUUACAAAUUAAAACAAUUGUUCAUCAAUUUAAAAACAUCCAGAAUUUGAAAAUUUUGUGAAUAAUUUGAAAGGUUCUAGUAUUUAUAAUGAAUUUAUAUAAAUAUUCCAAAAAAUAAAGUACUCCCAUGAAUUUUUUUUCAUGAACUAAAUAUGGAAAAAUAAUAAAUACAUCAAAUAUUGUUUGAGAUUUAUUUUUUAAGUCCCGGCAGAAAUGUUCUAGAACCUUCCUAAAACCAUAAGACAAUGGCACAAGAGUAAGACGACACAUAUAUGUGCUCUGCUCUCGGGUCCUCGGUUCACUUCCAUGGCAAUUUCUCUUUACGCGCAUGUCUAAGCUACCGAAAAACAUAUUUUAUUCAACUGGUUAAAGCAAAAGUUUCUUGGGCCUUAUUUGGGCUAAAGCACAAGACGUAUUUACACCAUGACUGUACACUAAUAGAGUGUUUUCUACGCUAGCUUCAUCAGUAGCUCAUAGCGGAGCCGUGCCCAGUACUCGAGCAACCCCGGUCGUAUGAAAAAGCACAAGGCUUUACCACUCCAGUUACUUUGUAUACUCAUCACCAAUAUAUUGCAGGGUUCAUCAUGACACACGAUUUUACUCAUGGAGCUAUUUUUCCUUAGGGAUUACAAUACGAAGCAUAAUAGGAUAAUUUAUUGGUAAUAAUGUUAGACCAUAAAGUAGUCUUCAUAUCUUUAUUGGCAAGGACCAACUUGAUCCUCAAAAAAUGACGCAUACAAAUUGGAAAAUAAGACAAAAAAAUUGAUUAGAACAAAAAAUAAAACAAAAAUAAUAUCAGUGAAACCGAUAGAGUAAAAUUGAAACACUUUGAAACCUUCCAAAAGACAGAACACAAUAGCACAAUGGUGGGUAUGUGCACGUAUGCACUCUAGACACGGGGACGCCCCCCCCCCCCCCCCNNNNNNNNNNNNNNNNNNNNNNNNNNNNNNNNNNNNNNNNNNNNNNNNNNNNNNNNNNNNNNNNNNNNNNNNNNNNNNNNNNNNNNNNNNNNNNNNNNNNNNNNNNNNNNNNNNNNNNNNNNNNNUAUCUUUGCUUUAUAUGUAAUAAAGUUGUUUUCGGCAUCCAACGUUUUUUAAUUUUUAAAUUUUUUCCCACCAAGGAGCAUCUUAUUCAGGGUACACCCUUACUCAUUCUUACAUGAAAUGCAAUCCCGAAGAUAGACACAUAAGGCUAGGUUUGCACGAUGUUAUAUUUUCUCACCAAGGAGGAGUGAAUUGCAAAAGCCACAUAAGGCUAGGUUUGCACGGAAUACGUUUCUACAGGUUGUGCGAAAAAACCACUAAUUUGGAUCUACUUUUUUGCGGAAACCACUAGUUGCUCGCUAAUUUUAAUCAUAUUUAUGAUAGAUCGGAACUAAAAGACAGGGUGACGUGCAGGAUAAGGCCGCGGCAGAGGGCUAGGAGCAGCAGCGAGCUCCGCAGCAGGCGAGUUUGAGCUCGUAGGAGUGCGCACCGAGGACGACGGGCCGCGAGUAGAAGCUCCACUAAUAAUCUUUUGGUCAAAGAGGAGUCCUUGACGGCCUAUUUCUUUGCUAUUUCCAACGGUAGGAGGCGUCAUUGCCUCAUUGAUAAUAUUCUGGUCGAAGGAGUGCGUAUGUCGUCCCGUGAUGCCCUCCUCCAGCAUGCUCAUGAUCUUUUCCUUGAGAUUCUCUCUGCUAGGCUUGCUUCGGGAUUCUCUAUCUCUAAUAACCUCUGGGAAAGCUAGUUCCGGGAAACUAAUGAGGACAAUGCCUACCAUGUUUUAGCCUUUCCUCUGAUGAAAUUGAGGUGUUUGUCUCGUCCUCUAAGUCCAAAUCCACUCCUGGGCUUGAUGGGUUCUCUAUUGCUUUCUUUAAAAAGUUUUGGGCGGUGUUCUACCAGUUGGUGUGUGUGAUCAUCCAGGGCUUCUGUUUGAGGACGGUAGACAUUUCAAGGCUGAAUUGUGUUGUCCUCUCUCUCACUCCUAAGGUCAAAGGAGUUGAUCCCUUCUCGCAAUUCCUACCGACCACACUUAUAAAUUUUUUAGCCAAAUUACUUGCCAAGGGCUUUGCAGUCCACCUCUCUCCUAUGGCCCAAAGUUCUUAGCCAUACCCAAUCGGCCUUUGUCAAAGGUAGGUUUAUCCUAGACGGCAUCCUGAGUUUACAUGAGAUUGUCCACGACCUCAGAGUCAAGGAGACAAAAACCUUAAUUCUCAAACUCGACUUUGAGGAAGCUUAAGACUCGGUCAGCUGGGACUUCCUGUGUAAGGUUUUGCUGGCCAAGGGCUUUGAAGGAGCAUAUGUUCAUAGGCUUAUGCAAUGUGUCUCGGGUGGACACACGGUUGUGGCAGUUAACGACAGGGUCAAUAACUUCUUUGCCAAUGGUCGAGGCUUAGGGGAUCCUAUCCCUUCGCUCCUUUUUAACUUUGUAGUCGAUGCACUUUCCUGCAUCCUUUCGAGGGCUGCCUCUGAGGGCCAUAUUUCCCCUGUUGUCUCACAUCUUAUCCCAGAUGGUGUCACACACUUGCAGUACGCGGAUGACACGAUUAUUAUGGUUGAGCUCAGCGAUCUUUGCAUUUCCAACCUAAAAUUCCUUCUCAUGUGUUUCGAGGCUCUCUCGGUUCUGAAAAUCAAUUUUGCCAAAAGCGAAGCUCAGGUCAUCGGGGUGACCAAGGAUGAGGAUAAGGCAGUUUUCGAAUUGCUCAACUGUCAGCGUGGGUCCUUCCUGUUUAAGUACUUUGGUCUCCCUAUUGCUCCUUCCAAAUUAAUCGCUAAAUAUUUUGCUCCCCUCGUGGCCAAGGUUGGCAAUAGGGUUAUGCCAUGGCGAGGCAGAUAUAACACCAACGUUGGCAAGGUGUGCAUUACUAAUACAUGUCUUUCUUCCCUCCAUAUGUACACCAUGGGUUUAUAUCGCCUCACGGAUGGGACUCACGCGGGUUUUGACAAACAUAGGGGUGCCUUCUAAUGGAACUCCGCUGACAACCAUCGUAAAUACCGCUUGGUUAAGUGGCAACAUAUCUUCACCCUAAGUCCUUUGAUGGUUUGUGUAUGCUCAACACCUCCAUCAUCAAUAAAGGCCAUAUUAUCAAAUGGCGGUGGAAGAUUUGGCACUCUCUGGUUUGCCCUGUUGAAAAGUAAAUACUUCCCUAAUAGCAACCCUCUUUGUGUCUCACCGUCGGGAGGAUCCCAGUUUUAGCGUGAUCUAAUUAAGGUGUGUGAUGAUUUCAGAGCCCAGGUGAAAUUUGUGGUGGACAACGGAUUUUCUAUGUGUCUAUGGCUCGACUGGUGGUGUGGCAAGUCCACUUUAGCCAUGGUUUUUCCUACCCUUUUUGCAUAUGCUUCGACCGAGAGAUCUCAAUAUGUGAGCUCGCCCGGGCGGGAUGGGACUUAGGCCUCAAGAGAACCCUCCCUCCUGAAGAGUUGGGUGAGUGGUAGCUCCUGGCUGCGCGUUUCCCUGUUCUCUCGGAGGAGGUUGAUUCUGUAGUUUGGCCCCACACCCCUUGUGGCAGAUUCUAUGUGAAGUCCUUGUAUGAUCGCCUCAUCUCCGACUUUACUACUAAAAAAAAUCAAGGUUGUUUGGUAGGUGACGGUGUCGCCCAAGAUUAAAAUAUUUCUCUGGCAGGACAUUAGAGGUCGCCUUCCUGCGGUUGAUCAAAUUCGAAAGAGGAAUGUCCCCGGAUGUGAUCGGUGUGCUCUUUGUAACUCUAUUGAAAACUUGGACCACAUCUUCUUUGGUUGUGUUCUCGCCAAGCUAGCAUGGUCGUGCAUCUAGGAGUGGAUGGGUAUCCUUGGGCCCGUCUUCGUUUGGUGAGCUCAGACCAGGAGAAGCAGAAGCUACACCUAGUACUAUUGAAGGCAUGCCCAGCCCAUCGAAACCUGACAACGAUGUCGCCCAACUGCCUCGAUGAGACGGCUCAUCCUCACGUGCGUCGACCUGCUGCACCAUGCCUCCCCUGCUCCAGCUGCUCACUGACACGGGCAGCGUCAGUGCUGGCUACGGACUGGAGCAAGUAGCACAUGUGCCGGUGCGCACGAGCAUGAGUAGUAACGGUGUCGUCCGCGCUCACCGGUCAUCCCGGCCUUGCGCCGCCUUUCUCACGGCACAAGCGUCCGCGUUGACGUCGUGGGUCUUAGCGGUGGUAGCGUAGAGAGGGAGUGGCCGCCGACGUCCACCACCUGACUUUAGGUAUUUUUUUGCAAAUUAAAAUUGUAUUGGCAUCUAAUUGGCAUUUUUAUACCACGUCACCUUGUACAGUGCCCAAAGCCACGAAAUGUCGACCAAAGUAGCACUAGUUGCAGCACAAGUUGGACAGGACAGAACAAGUUGCAGCACAAAGAGGAGACUAUGAAAGUGAAGCCAGAAUUACCAGCUGCCAACAAAUGCAAAAGCGAUACAUGUAGCCCUCAAUCCCGCCGACUGACCAAAUAGAUGGUUGUUAGAGUUAAGCACGAUCUAGCUUGCACGACACGUAUCUAGAGCAAAAGGCAAUGGCUCGGGCCUAUUGCAAAUCUGACGACUCACACUUUUGAGCUGGCCUAUUAGCGACAAAGAAAAACCUCUUUCACUUUGGGCCUUUCGCGAUAAAGGACGGGUCGGAAAUUCGUUUCUGCGAAGACAUAUGGCUAGGCAAUGCCAGUCUCCGAGAACAAUACCUAGCCUUAUACGCCAUUGCUCGCGAUAAAAAUAAUAAUAUUGCGCAUGUGCUCAGUUCAUCCCCGCCGAUUAUCUCGUUCAGGCGGGUUUUGGUUGGCUCCCAACUUUUUCCAUGGCAUAAUCUUUUAACCCGUCUGAUUAAUCUGACACAAAGCCGGGAUGUUUUUCGCUAGAACCUUACUACAUCGGGUUUUUUCACAGUAGACUCUAUAUAUCGUGCGUUAACACAUUCUGAGGUAUCAACAAAUAAUAACAAGGAAAUUUGUAAGUCGAAGAUUCCACUAAAAGUUAAAUUUCGUUCAUAUCUCAUACCCAGUGGCGGAGCAACAGGGUGGGCUGCGCUCCACCAUGUAAUUUUGGUUUGACAUGUAUAGCCAUGCGAUGGAAGAAGACCGCACGAAGAGCGCACACGCGAUUCAGAUCCACGCCCAGCUGAGCGCCUGCUUCGUUGUCGCGGCAUUGCCUCGCCUGCCAUCGGGAAGCCGGAGCAACCGUCCUGACACCCGCGGUCCGGGUGCCCUGCCUAUUCGCUACUAUGCUCACCACCUACUUUCUCCGCCCGCCGACCUGUGCAGCAGCGUGCCCAGCAGCAGCCCUCUGCCGAGUCAACUGCAGUGCUUCCAGAAGAGCUUAUCAUCUCACACAGAGAGAGAUAUUGUCCUGUCCCGGUGAGGCCAUGACUGUGCCGAUCCACUGAACGCCUACCCGAGGAUUGCCAUGGCACCGGCGCAACACACGACCUCGCCAUCCGGCAUUCAUCUAGUCUUCCUCUGUAGGCACUGCGACGCUUGUGUAAAGGAGCCAUGGCCACACGCAGCAUAUACAUCAACAGACACGGGUAUAUCAUGAUGGGGCUUCGCAAUAGAUUUACUCCAUGCAUCCACACCCACAUCCACCCAUCCAACCAAAGGAAGGUUCGGAGGCAAUCGAUUUGCCGGAGGGGAGCAUGCUUUGUGGGGUUUUCCAGAAGGAACGAUUGUUUUUUAGGUUGGCGGGAGCACUGUAGGUGGCGAAUCCAUGUGACAUGAGGCGUUCGAUCCAAUAGCUUGGAAGGCUAUAAACGAAUUAAUUCAUUCUUCAGGCGGCGGGUAAAACAACUGAGAUGAGGGUAGAUUCAAUUUUCAAAAAAAUGUGUACUAUAAUAGUAGAGAUAAGAACGGAUGGAGUAGUUACGAGCACAACACUACAUAAGAUUACAUAACAUGGCGGAGUGUUCAAAUACGAAAUUCAGUAUUGGCAUUCAAGUGGCUCAUGCAAUUCUUAAUUUAGAUUUGAGAUUUGGUGCUGCUGCUACAACUCUCUGCAGCUUUUCUGGUGUCUUUUCAUUGCAUUUAUAGGAGUAUGACCCGGGGACCGGGGUACUAAUCCGACAUAGAGUCUUAGAGACUUAGACACAAACCAAAACCAAAACCAAACAUGCUAAUGUGUACUGCUACUCGGACGAACCUAUGAUACAUGACAUGCAUGCUUAUUGUUACAUUACAUGAUACACAUCACACAUAUGUCUUGUUUUGGACCAAGAAGAACAAGCAUAAAUAUACAUGCAUGCUGCAUAUACAAUAUCAAAUGGAAAACUCUUUAUGUUACGCCAAUAGCUUCAUCAAGCAACCGAAAGAAGCAUCCGCACAACAUUUUCCAUGGUGGGCCUUUGUCUACCAUCUUCUUCUACACAUGAAACAGCCAACUUGAACAUCGCCCUUGCUUGCAAGCUGUCGAACUGGCCGUUCAACCUUAAGUCAAUGAAGUCGGCUAUCCAUAACUGUUGGCCACCCUCCAGCAUUAGAUUUUCUGCAAGCAUCCUGAUGACCCUUCCAAAGACCAUUUCCACUUCCUCGUCCGCAUUUGAUGCCCAGUCUGAAACACGAGCCCCCUUCAGCAGUUCCAGAAGAACCACGCCGAAGCUGUAGACAUCAACCUUCGCCGUUAUUGGCUGGCUAGAAACCCACUCAGGAGCUAUGUAACCUCUAGUUCCAUGGAUUCUCGAUACAUUUUUGUUGGAUCCGCUCCUAUUUACAAGUUUUGCCAGGCCAAAGUCGCUGAUCUUCGGCUGUAAGUUGUCGUCCAACAGUAUAUUUUCAGGCUUCAAGUCACAAUGGAUAACCCACUCCAAGCAUUCGUGAUGAAGAUAGGCCAAUCCUUUUGCCACCCCUAAAGCAAUCUUAAACCUUUCACUCCAUUCAAGUAACCUUGUGCUACUAAACAAAGUUUUAUCCAAAGAACCAUUCUCAACAUACUCCAAAACCAAUAUCCUGUGUGGGCCAUCCGAACAAAAACCCCAUACCCUCACCAGAUUCAUGUGGUAAAUCUUUCCAAUCACACUGAGUUCAUGUUGGAAUUCUUCUCCGCCUUGGUUUAUGUCUGCCAACCUUUUCACCGCUACUGCCCUCUUGUCUUUCAAGACCCCCUUGUAUACAUGACCAGAUGCGCCACACCCAAUUUGAUCCUUGAACUUUUGAGUCGCUCUUUGCAACUCCUUGUAAGUGUAUCUGCGGAAAUGGUUGGUUAUCAUUUCAUAGCCAACCUCAGCUGGCCAUACUCCUGUUAACUGCUUGCUCUCCCUUCUCAACAUAAACCAGCACCCUAGUGCCACAAAUAUUACCUCCACACAAAAUAUCGCUAACAAGAAUCCAUACAAUAAGUACAAGUACUGUGAUUUUAAUCCACUUUGAGUAUUCUUCGGUUGAUCCAGAAAAUCUACAGUGAAAUAUUCGCUCUUUGCACUACAGUUAGGAACAUACCUAGAACCAAAAGGUUGCGAGUGAGGAAUUGAGGAAUCCGAGACCUGGAAUGUCUUAGGAUACUUGAGAUACAUAGAACGCCGAAUAUACGGAAUGGUUACACCGCCGACAAGGGACCACUUUGGAUAGCAAUCUCCAGUUGCUUGCAGGUAUGAGAAACCUUUGCAGUUGCAGUCGUUCAAGCAUAUCUUCUUGCAAGUAUCAAGUGAAACUAAGUUAUGGCUACUUUGAUCAUUACCUCGGAAAUCAGUGCUAGGAAGCUUCACAAACAUCUCCUGGCCGUCACAGCUGAGAUUGAAUUUUGGCCUGCAACCUUUGCUCCGGUCAGUUGGGUCGACGAUCUCGUGUCCAGGGGAACAUGCACAAGCUGGACCAGGUGUAUACACACAUAUUCCAUUCAUGCCACACAGACCACGUACAGAGCAGGUCUGAGGAUAUGCCAUCCAUGUGACCGACCAACUUCCAUCUGUCUUGUUUAGACUGUAUAAUCUAAGGUUGCCAUCAUAAUUCAAUGUUAGCCUUCUCAUAACCUUGGAACCCCAAUCAGCAGCCUUAAUAGUUAAAUUGUCACUUCCAAGAAAAUACCCCCAGCUAUCAAGGACCCCAAUUGUGGUGCUAUUGAAUGAGUUUCUUCGCUUUUCCCACACACUCAUUCUUGGAUCCGGCCAAUAGAUAAAAGAUAUAUCCUUCUCAUCAUAAAAUAGUGUGAGUAAAUGUUGAUCAUCAAAAUGGAAGCUGUAACGCCCAGCAAGAAGUAACCUAUGAGUAGAUACCAACUUUGUAGCACUAGUAAUAUUCUGAUAUGGAAGCAGUGUAUCAGUAGGAGAAUCAAAGCUUUGCCAUAGAAUGAUAUCACCUUGGCCCUUUACAAUGAGAUUCCCAGUGUCCAGCAGCUGAGCUUGUUCGGCUUUUGAGGAAGAGUUGACAUUGUUUUCCCACACGAGUUGGCCAUUAUAAUCUUUUACAAUCAUUCUUCCAUCUGUGCCUAGCAUGACUUGGGAGCCCCAGGAGUACACGGGGUGGAAAUGAUUUGCACUCCAGACGACAGUCUUCUCGGCUGUGUUGGAGAACCAAAUAGAGAAGACGGAAGCAUUUUUGGAAAUGUUGUUGAAGCCACAGAUGAAAGUACCAUCUGGUGAAUGGAGAACGUCAGAGCUAUCCUCCACAGAGAGAUAAGAGCCUGGCGAGAGGAAUUCACGAGCGGAGAUGUGCAAAAAUAAAUGAAUGAAAUUUAGUAGAAGCAGAGGAAUAGAGUGUGCAUCCAUGUUUGAUGAGACACUCGAGAUGACCAUUAGAAUGAUCACAAAUGGACGUAUUAUAUAGGAGACAACUGUCGGUAUACACUGGAGAGGAAGCAAUAUGCUUCUACUUAUAUAAUGCCAAACUGAUAGGCGCGUGUCCUUUUCUUGAGAGUGAUAACAUGUUCUUGUUCGUCAAAGAUUUAAUCAGUAGUUUUUUUUUUUUUGAAAAGGAGGAAACGACCCAGUCUUUGUCAUCAAGUUUGAGAGUUGCAGAAUUGUCUUCUAUUUCAGCUGGUUGAUGUAUAAUCCGGAAAUAAGGCCCUUUCCUUGAAUGGUAACUUGUUCUAUUCAGUCAACAAUUCAACUACUCCCUCUGUCCCAAAAUAAGUGUCUCAACUCUAAAGCAAGGCCGUCUCCAGAAAAUUGAGGGUCCGGGACAAAAAUAAAAUAAGGUCCUAUUUUUUAUUAAACAUCAAACUGAAGAACUAAUGUAAGCAGAGCAUACUCUUACUUAAUUAUUUAACUUUAAAUAUGUCUUAUUUGAUACAAUAUUUAAAAAGUCUAUAAAAUACAGUAAAAUAGUAAAUAUGAUACUAACGCAAUAAACUUAUAAACUGACCUCAUUUUCUACCAAAGAGUAGCAUUCUUCAAGUAUUUCUUGAAAUGAAAUCUUCGAUCAUAUCUUUAUAAUUAAUCUUCUCCAAGACGUGACCUUCAGUGGCAAUAUUAGCAGUGUCUCCUUCAUCAACAUGAUUAGGAUCAUCAUCUUCGUCGACAUUCUUAGUAUCAUCACCUUCAUCGGUUUGUGCAAUGUGAGCCUCAACCUCCACUGGAUCACCACCAUGCGCAUCAGCAAUAUUAGCAUCUGGAGUUUGGUUUUCAAAACUGGGCUGAGGUUCUUUCACAACAAAUUUAUCAAGAGAACCCUUUUGUACUCGAGCAUCUUCUUCUACUUUUUGUUUCUUCCUUCGCUUUGAAGCACCGGAAUCAUACUUCCUGCCUCGAUGCAUGAUUCUUUCUGUUUAAUAAGAUAAAAUAUAAUCUGGAUCAAUUCAAACCAUAAUUAUAAACCUCUGUAGCUAAAAAUAGAAAAGACUUCACCUAGACCUAAAUGUAAGAUUAAGACCAUACCAUGUUCCUGAAUCACGAUAGGCCAAACAUUAGGAUUCAGAGUUUCAGACAGAUGCACAACAAAUCGUUUAUUGCACACCGUCAGAAUCCUGAAUCGUUUAUUGCACACCGUCAGAUGUACAGAGACUUACGCUUGCAAGGGGAAGAUGAUGCGCUGCAGCACUGGUCGCCGGCCACCGGCCGCAUAGGUGCGUACGUCUGGCCUGGCGUCUUCCCUCUGCCGCUGUCGACUCGACCCGUCGCUGCCGUCUGCUGUCGCCUUGCUCGAUACCUGCCGGCUGCCGCCGUCGCCACUCGCCAGGCACGCAACCGCCGUUCAGACCGCUAAUCGUGAUUACUGAUUACGACGACAAAGGCAGGGAUGUAUAAGGGCUACGUGCGUACGUGGGCUACUUGGCAUUGCUUUUUCAAUGGGCUUUUUUUUCAUACAUAUGUAGACUUAUUUUUUACUAGACUCGGGGCCCCACAAUUUUGGGGCCCUGUGCGGUCGGCCAAUUUGGCCAUCCUCAUCGACGGGGCUGCUCUAAAGCUUAGUAUAAUUUUAUACUAGAGCUAGUAGAAAGUUAAGACACUUAUUUUGGGACUGAGGGAAUAUUAUUGAAGGCUGUCUUGCAAGGUCCACCCUUAUUGAAGGCUUUUAGCUGGCUGGUUUCAGGCAGCUGCUGAGGGAAAUGAAAUAUGUACUAUUUCAACAGAUUGGUGGCACUGAUAUACGUGAGUAAUUGGUUUGCUACUUCUGACACAGGUUGUCGGCAAAAUCCCAGUUACUAUCAGAAAGAAAUGGUAGACUUGGCAAUAUUUGAAUUUUAUUCCUGCAGAUAGAUAUAGUGUUCACCGUGUUUCACGAGAAACAGACAUGACAAUGACAGUAUAUGAAAAUUCAAACCUGUCCAUUCAGACAGGAAAAUAAUAGGUUAUGGCUUUAUGCGUUGCACUUGAUUUCCAAAGUGAAGACAUAUCCGUUUCGCUUUCGGAGCAAUAAUUAUCAUCAGACUGAAGGGUGGAGCCUUCUCAAAUUUAUCUCCAGUCGUCGUGCAGCAUGACCACGAGCUAGUGGUCUGAAUUCAGAAAAUACGACCAGAUGCUUUUCACAUACAAUCCUACUCCUCUGGCCCGUGAUAGAGGAUGAGUUUCAGUGUAAAUCCUCUAAAGCAAGCAUGUUGGUCAGUGCUUGAUUUCCUGGCGUCCUUGGAUAACUAAUUUCUUUGGAAAAAAGAAAUCUCCUCUAUGAUUACUAAUUGUCUCACGGAUCUAUCCAGUAGUUGUCUGAGACAUAUCAGGUCACACAUCAACAUCUAUCAUUCGGCAAGAUACACAAAUGGAGACUUGAGACCGCUUCAUGAACCACACCGGUUAUCACUUCGAUGAUAACUUUGAUUCACGGUGGUCACUUAUGUUUAACAUGGUUAUUGAGAGUCUCGAUUUGAGGAAGAUUGACCUCACUGGUAGACAAUUCACAUGGGCGAACUCACUACCGGUGCCAACAUAUGAGAAGUUGGACCGGGUACUGACCAGUGUUGAGUGGGAACAGAAGUACCCGCUGGUUACAGUGCAGGCUUUACAAAGAGCCAUCUCAAAUCACACACCUCUCGUAGUUGACUCAGGGGAUGCCUACCAUGCGGGUAAUAGAAAUGUCUUCUCCUUUGAAUUAAGCUGGUUCGAACGAGAAGGUUUCAUGGAUCUCAUAGCUAAUGAAUGGGCUAGGGAUUCCGGUGGAUCAACGAGUAUAGAAAGAUGGCAAAACUAAAUCCGACAUUUACGCCAGUUCUUGAGAGGAUGGACGAAAAAUCAGAGCGGUAUAUAUAAACUGAAAAAAGAAAGACUCAUUCGUCUUAUUGAUGAAUUAUACUUCAAAGCUGAAUCUGCCCAUCUCAAUUUAACAGAUAGGAAUAACAAGAUUGAAACUGAGAAUAAGUUGCAAAAACUUUUCAAAGAAGAGGAGAUGAAAUGGGAACUUCGAGCCAAGGUGACAAAGGUGGUUCAUGGGGACGAUAACACUCAAUUCUUUCACAUGAUUGCAAAUGGCAAACAUUGAAAGAAAAAAAAAACCCAACUUGAACAAGAUGAAGGAACAAUACUAGGUCACGAGAAGUUAAAACUAUAAAUCUCUGAAUAUUACAAGAAAUUAUUUGGUACACCAGAAGAGAUGGUGGUCUCUCUGGAUGAAAGCAUAACUCAUGAUAUACCUCAACUCAAUGCAGAUGAGAAUAGAGGUGUUAUCAACUCCAUUUACAGAGAAUGAGGUGUAUGACUCAAUAACACAAAUGAAACUAAAUAAAGCACCGGGGCCGGACGGGUUUCCGGCAGAAUUUUAUAAGAAAUGCUGGCAUAUAAUUAAGGGAGACCUCAUGCCUAUGUUCCAUGAUUUAUUUAAUGGUCAGUUGCAACUAUUCCACCUUAACUUUGGAACAAAUACGUUGUUGCCAAAAAAGGCGGAGGCUAUACGCAUUGAGCAGAUUAGACCGAUAUGUCUGCUCAAUGUCAGCUUCAAUUUUUUUACAAAGGUUGACACUAAUAGAUUGACAAAGAUAGAUCAUUCAGUAGUCCAACUGACGCAUACUGCGUUUAUGCCUGGGAGACACAUGUUAGAGGGUGUUGUUGUCCUGCAUGAAACGCUGCACGAAAUUCAUACAAAAAAACUAGAUGGGGUUAUCUUUAAAGUGGAUUUCGAGAAAGCAUAUGAUAAAGUCAAAUGGCCAUUUCUUCAACAGGUCUUACUAUGAAAGGAUUCAAUGAAAGAUGGAGAGAUCAGGUUGAUACUUUCAUUCAGAAAGGCAGUGUAGGUGUUAAAGUUAAUGAUAACACAGGGCAUUUUUUUCAAACACGCAAGGGACUAAGGUAAGGUGAUUCAAUGUCCGCCGUGUUGUUCAACAUAGUAGCAAACAUGUUGACAAUACUCAUUCCGAGAGCCAAAGAAAAGGGCCAAGUAGGAGGUCUCAUUCCACAUCCUGUAGGGGGGGUGUCCAUACUACAAUAUGUGGAUGAUACGAUUAUUUUCAUGGAACAUGAUUUGGCCAAAGCGAUAAAUAUGAAACUAUUAUUGUGCUUAUUUGAACAGCUCUCGGGGCUGAAAAUUAAUUUCAACAAAAGCGAACUUCUCUGCUUUGGGAAGGCAAAAGAGGAGCAAGACGCUUACAUGCAACUAUUUGGAUGUGAAAUGGGAUCACUACCAUUUAGCUAUCUCGGGAUUCCUAUUCAUCAUAGGCGACUGACGAAUAAGAAAUGAAAAUGUAUUGAAGAUAGAUUUGAAAAAAAAACUAAGUUGCUCGAAGGGCAAGCUUAUGUCAUACGGAGGGAGGCUAGUGUUAAUAAAUUCCGUGUUAACAAGCCUACCCAUGUUUCUCUUGUCUUUUUUUAAAAUACCGGUAGGGGUAUGAAAAAGACUAGAUUUCUAUAGAUAUCGUUUCUUCUCGCAAAGUGAUGAGGCUAAAAAGAAAUACAGAUUGGCACAUUGGGAUAUUAUAUGCAGAUCGAAAGACCAGGAGGGUAUGGGCAUUGAAAACUUAGAAGUGAAGAACAGAUGCCUGCUUAGCAAAUGGCUUUAUAGGUUAUCCACAGAGACCGAGGGAAUGUGGUUUUAAUUACUGAAGAAUAAAUGCCUACAUUCAAAAAAUUUAGUCCAGGUUACAACUAGACCAAAUGAAUCACCUUUCUGAAAAGGGUUAAUGAAGAUAAAAGUGACCUUUUUACAGAGGGUGAAGUUUGUAGUUGGUGAUGGUGGCUCAAUAAGAUUUUGGGAGGAUACUUGGCUUGGAGACACCCCUUUAUCACUUCAAUACCCCAUGCUUUAUAAUAUUGCUCAACCUAAAGAGGACUAUGUGUCCACGGUACUACAAUCGGUACCUCUUAACAUGCAGUUCAGGGGAGCUUUAGUGGGAGCAUGCUGGAAUGCAUGGUUGCAUCUGGUCAGAAGACUUAUGCAGGUACAAUUAUCUGACCAGACAGAUAGUGUUCAUUGGAUAUUGACUACCAAUGGGGUAUUCUCAGUAAAGUCCAUGUAUGCGGAUCUGAUAAACACCGGACCUCUAUCCAGAUCAUUACAUAUUUAAAAUAUCCAAGUGCCGCUCAUGAUUAAAAAUGUUAUGUGGUUUAUACAUAAAGGUGUGGUAUUAACCAAAGAUAACUUAAUAAAACGAAGACGGAGAGGGAGGUCGAAUUGUUGCUAUUGUGAGCAGAUUGAAACAAUAAGACACGUCUUUAUAGAUUGCCCUCUUGCAAAACUACUAUGGCGCACCGUUCAUAUAGCUUUUAAUGUUACCCCACCUACAUGUAUUAGCUCGCUAUUUACAACGUAGCUCAGUGGAGUGGACGUUAAAAUAUCGAAACUUAUCAGAAUUGGGAUCUGCGCUUUAUUUUGUGCUAUAUGGAAUACCAAGAAUGACAUGAUUUUUAAUGGCAAGAACUUCAACAACUUUUUGCAGGUUAUCUUCCGAGCGACGUCUUGGAUCCGUACGUGGUCGUGACUCUUAUGGAUAUUGGAUGCAACCGAUGAGAGAUGGUCCACGGGUUAUCUUCAACCGAUUUGGAUGGCGUGCUAAUAAUAAGCUAGGUGUAUAGGCAUCAUAGUCUGCUUUUAGCUACGCCGGAUGUGGCAAUUUUUUUAUAUCAUAUUUUUUUUAAUUUUCAUUUCAAGCUUCAGAGCUUUGUGGACCUAAGACAUUAUUUUAAACUCUGUUAAAUAAUAUGGCUGCAUGCAUCGGUUGAUGCAAAGGCCGGGGACUCGUUUCCUCCUUCUAAAAAAAAAGAACCACACCGGUCGACCUCUAAUGGGUAACGGUAUGUUUGCAGAUUCCGCCCAGGGUCGUUAAAUCUUCAACGUUUCUUUCGCAAGGAGAGUCCAACUACCGAAAGGAAAUUCAUUGUGACACUACUAGAAUCAUUCUUUGUCCCGAGUUCUAAUUCUUGGUCGAGUGCAUUUUAUGGCGCACUCGGCAAACUUUUUGUCUGCCGAGUAUUUUUUAAAACUGGACUCGGAAGUAGUAAGCAACUCAGCAGAGUAGUGACUUUGCCAGGUUCUAUAAAAAACGACUCGACGAACAAAAAAACUCGACGGACUAUGAGGUUCACCGAGUUCCCGCCUCGUCUAGAAACGGUAAGCUACGGUCAUCAUUGCACCCUUUGUGGAAGAUAUUACUGUCACUAUGAAUCUUCUCUGCUUAACAUAAGUAAAUAUUCUUUGCUUAUGAUGGGCAGAUAAGUUUCAUAAUGACAGAUUGUUUCCCUUACAAAAGUGAGCAUUGCUGACUGCUCGGCUUUUUUUUAGUCAUUUCAUUAAGCUUCGAGGGUUCAUAUCUUUGCUGAGUUCCUGAUAGAAAGAACUCGGCAAAUGUAGCUGGUGGUUUAGUCCCACCUGCCUACUUGAGGAGCGACCGGACCAGGUUAAAUUGCUGUUUUAUUCAGAUGCAGUAAGCUAAGGUCAUCAUUACAUUUUGUAGUGGGUAUGUCUGUCACUAUGAAUCUUCUCUGGUUAUCUCUCUGCAUAUAAUAAUCAGAUAAGUUCCUUAGUUACAGAUUGUAUCCAUCAUGAUCAAUUCCAACAAUCUGUCCAGAACAGGGAAGAGCGACCACCAUAACGAGAUGAUGCCUCCGAAUAUUGAGCUGAACUGCAUCCCGUCACGCCACCAUAACGAGCCGCAUGGAUAUGAGGCAUGCGGGAUGGAGUCUCUAUAAUAUAUAUCCCAGACUAAAUGCACCCAAGGAACAUCAUGACGGUUUUAGAAUUUAUGUAGAAAUUUUAGCAGCAUCGCAUCAUUCAGGAUAUGUAAAUUUAUCACCAAGUCCACCAUGUGUUUUGGGGCGGCAAAUCAUAUCCUAGGCAGCGAGAGAGUUACAUUUUUCUUCACUUUCAAUUUCUUUCGCCAUAGACAACGCAUCCUGAUCUUGUCAAUGUGAGCAACAAUAUUGGGGUGAAGUUGUAUCGUGCCCAUGGUGAACAUGGAUAAUAAAUAUUCUUGAUGUAUGCAAGAAAAUGUAGACACCAAAAUAUAUAAUUUCUUAAAAUGUUAAUUUUGUAUUUUUCAAUUGAUAAUUGAAAAUAAUGUUUGACAUGUAUACGAAAAAUGUACACGAUGCAUGAAAAAAGUAGACAGUACACCAUAUAUAAUAAUAAAUGGCCAUAAAGAUAUAAAUUUUAAGAUAUAUUAAUCAUGUAUGGAGAAAAUGUUAACUAUGUAUAGAAAAAUGUUCUUAAUGUAUAACAAAAUGUUGAACGAUGUACUGGAAAAAAUGUCUUGAAAAAAGAAGCUGAUGAAAAUCGGAAAAAAUCACAGGAAAUGAAGAAAACCAUUUAGAACCAAUAAAGAAAAGAAAAAAUAAAAUAAAAUCAAAGAAAACCAGUAAAAAGGAAUGAACCUGAGAAGAAAACAAAGGAAAAACAGUGAAAACCAAGUAAAAACCAAACAAAAAGAAAACAUGAAAUCAGUAAAAAUUAUGAAGGAAACAAAGAAAUCUGGUAAAAUCAAAGAAAAAUAGACAAUUAAAAAAGAGCUGUGAAAAAACAAAAGAAAACCGAAAGAAGUAAAAAAACCAGAAAAAGAUCUUAUUCAGCAGCUAAGGGGCGUCUGAUUGCAAAUCAGUGGUGAUGGGCAUAGGUAAUGGCACUACGGGAUCAAUUGCAUCAAUUGUCCAUAACAUAGUAGAUAAUUCUAAGGGUUUUCUUACUUGUAAUUUGUGUUUGAAAGUAGGCUGUUCAAUAUGGAAGCACAUAGGCUAGCUAGACAUGUUUUACAUCUAGAGGAGGGGCGCCAUGUGUUGCCGAUGAACCCCCAUGAUCCCUCUGUAAUUCCUGUUCUUCGAACUCUUGAGCAAGAAACCGAAGUAUGUUAACCCUAAAAAAGAUGAUAGAUCAUGGAUGCGAUCAUUCGUUCUGCUCCCGCCUCACGAUCAGAUCGAUCGAUCUAUCUCACAGCCAUAGCGCUAGGAAUCUACCAUCGCUCACAAGUCAUUGUCCUUCGACUUGAUUGUCGACUUGUGAAGCAGUGGAGCAGCGAAUACAGCGGCUGCCCCUAAUCGUCCUUAGCUGCUUGCAUACGUCCAGCCACUGCCAGAUCAUUAGGCAAGGUGCAUACAAUGUGUUACUAUACAUAAAAGUACUGCAAGUAUGAUAUAACCCCUUUUUGCCUUAGUUUGACUAUACUUUGUUAGUUGCAAACGACGACAUUUUUUUCACGCCCAUUGCCUCAAUCUCAAAUCUGUACUAGUGCCGAAAAUUUGGAUCAAGACAUUGGUGAAGGGUGCCGGUAGAGCUAUAUACAUUUUUAUCAAAAAAGGGCAAACAUACAUUUUCCUUAUCAAUUUGAAGUUGUUUCUUUGAAAUAUGAAUUUCAGUAUUUGAGAUGAUUUUUAUUGACAUAUUUCCAAGCAUAUGUUGAUACACUAUUUCGGUUGAUAUGUCGUACUAUAGUUAUGAUCGACAUCACUCGACCACCCUAUGCCCUAAUCAUGGCUCCGCCCCUGCGUUCCAUUAAAAGGAUUUGUAUGAAAUUUCAUGCUAAUAUCAUUGGGUAUACAAAAAAAAGUUUGUGACAUUAAAAAAUGGUAUAUGAACUGUUGAAAGUGUUUACUUCUAUUAAACAAUGUAUGUGGCAUUUGAAAGUAAUAUUUUCGAGUUUUAAAAAGUGUGUAAAAUUUUCAAAAAUGUUAUACAAUGUAAAAAUGUAUUUUUUGUUUAAAAAAUGUACACAAUGUAUUUCUAAUAUGUUACUGUGUAUUCAAAAAGUGUUCCAAACUUGUACUUUCAGAAAAUGUACAUCAUCUAUUUGAAAAUUUUCCAACGUUGUAGAAAAAACAUUUCACGUCUUCUCUGAAAAUGUACAUUCUGUGCCAAGAAAAAUAAUACAUGCAUUAAAAAAACAAAACCAAGAAAGAAACAAAAUUAAAAUGAAAAAACCGAAUAAAACCAAAAAAGAAACAAAGAAAAUCAAAGUAUACCAAAGAAAAACCAAAAACGGCCAAUGAGAAAACAAGAAAACCAAAAUAAAUGAAGCAAAAAAUAAAAACCAUUUAAAACCAGUGAAAGGAAAACUUAGUGGAAAAUACUUGAAAGAAAACAACAAAAAGAAUGAAGAAAACCAGAGCAAGUGAAAGUAGAAUGCGGCAGCGCGCAACCAAAAUAAACUAAGUGGGCUAACCAACUAGUCAUCGUCAUAGGUGAUUCCUAUUAGGAAUCAAUAGGGCGACAGGGAGUUCCUAUAUGGCACCUUUUGCGCCCGUUAGCCCAACCCGGUGCCUGCAUAUAGAAUGUGUUGGUCCUUUACAAAUCGAAAACAAUUGAUGAUAUUUCAAAAAAAAAAUAGAUUUGCGAAAAAAUUCAAAGAUUACAAAAAAAGUUCACUGAUUUUUGAAAUAUGUUUAUGUAUUUUUAAAAAGUUCCCAGAAUUUGCAAAACAAUAAUUGUUUUUCAAACAAAAUUCAUCGUUUUUCAAAAAGAAAUUAUCAAUUUUUAAAAACAGUUCAGCUACUUUGAAAACAAAUCAUGAAUUUAAAAUUAUGUUCACCGUUUCAAACAUGUUCAGCGAUUUUGAAAAAAUGUCAUUGAUUUUACAAAAAGUUCACCAAUUUUCAAAAAAGUUCAUCGAUUUGAAAAAAAGUUCACGGGUUAAAACACAGAUCAUAUCUCUAAAUGGACCGGCCCAUGACGGAGUGCUGCAGGCGCCGGUUAACAUAGUUUGCAUGUAACCGGUGCCUGUGACGUUAAAUAGGGUUUGCCUGGGCGACACAUAGAUGUUGUGCACUCGAGUUCCUCACUGCAAUCCGGUAAAUGGGCCAGGCCCAUCGCACCCGAAACAUCUACAUAUCACGGAGUGACUCGCGAAAUUACGAUUUUUUCCUUUAUUUCAUUUUUUUCAUAUUUGUUCUAUGACGUUUAUAUAUGGACAGCCCUAGCCGUCGGUCGACUGACCCAGCCCGCAAAUUACGAUUAAGGGAUUUGGAGCCGCACGAUGUCCUUCCUUCCCCUCAUGUGCCUUCUUCUCUGAUAAACAACCCCAUCGCGCCGCCAUGGGCUAGCGAUACGCCCGACCUCGAAGCACCGCCCUGGCACACCUCAUCUAUUGCCGCCCUUGCAUCCAUCAUCUCCUAUGUUUCUCGUCAGCUCCGCGGAUGCAGCAACAAUCCCCCUUGGUUGCAUCUCCCCAUGGAGAAGGUUACGCUUGCUGUAUCAAGCACCUUCGAUGAUGAAUUCGCAAAAAAUGUACUCUCCCUCGAUUUGCUGGUAGCAGCAAAAUGGAAGGCAGGUUGUAGCAAAAAGGCGUGCUAGGUCAAGCAAAAAAUAGGUCGCUGGUGCCUUUACUCCGUCGCCAUGAUAGCAUCAAUUGUAGGAGUGCGGCAUUUCGGUGCCCAGGCUCAUCUGCACCCGUUUAGUAAAAAAAAUAAAGAAAAAUACUAAAAAUUGCAAACAACUCCAAAAAAAUUUGGGUAAUAGAUGAUAUGGCUCGUGAGGUCCGCUCCAAUGUUUUUUAUCAUUUGAACAUCUAAGAAGUUCUCAGCAAAAAGGACAAAUCGGGUCAAAAUGGUGCAUCUGCGAUACACUUUUUAGAGACCCCAAAUUUGUCUUCUUUGUCGAGAGCUGCUCUGACGUUCAAAUUGUACAAAAUUUGAAACGAACCUCACGCAUCAAAUUAUCUAUCACCCAAAAAAAUGGAAUUUUUUGAAUUUUUUAGUAUUUUGUUUUGAUUUUUUUACUCAGCUGGGAUGCAGAUCAGCCUGGGCUCAGAAAUGGAUUUUCGCAAUUGUAGCUUUUGUGGUUGUCGGUUGCAGUAAAAAAUGACCCGGUUGUAGCAAAAAUAAUUUACACCGGGAACUAUUGUGUAUGGUGGUAACAAAACAUGUCGCCGAUGGUAUCAAAAGUUAUGUGGUUUGCAGCAAAAAGAAUGGUGUCCCCCUCCGUCGGGGUCGCACCAUCUGCAUGAGUGAUGUGGCAAGCAAAAUUCAUCGCUGAUAGUAGCAAAUGAAGUCGAUGGUAGUAUCAAAAUGAAACGCACAUUUCAAAAAUCAAAUUUCAGCAACAAACUCCAGUAACAAACAGUUUGUUGGUUGUAGCAUCCCUCGUCAGCGGAUGUAACAUCUCUAGCAUCGAGUUGUAACAAGUCGCUCCCCGGGUUGCAUCCAUGACGACGGUUGCAUAGUCGUGUUUGUCGACCUCACAUCGGUGUGUGAGCGGUAGUAGCAGGGAAAGCGGAACCUCGGCCAUGAGGUGACUGACGUGCAACAUCGGCGUCCCUUGUAGCAUACCUCCCCGCCCCCAUGCCGCACUGGCAGCUCGCAAUGGUUUUGCUGUGGGAAAAAAGGACAUGAAGAAGCAGUGAAGUAGAGUGCAUACGAACUGAGGAACAUAAUUAGAAUAGGGAAACACUUCCCAUCAUGCGUCUGAAGCAAGAAACUCUUCAGACCAGUCGUGUGUCGUUGGUUUGUGUUUCAUCCACCCAUGUGUUUUGUCAGAGAAAUCCUGUUUAAACCUUCCAAAUUAGACGCACGCACAUCCCCAUAAUCACUCGCCCGUUUCUGUCUCGCCUCAUUAAUCGCCAUGUACCUCACCUCUGAACUGAUCACAGCUAUCCGACAGUGCGUGCAGCCCCAGUUCCACCUCACCGAUGCGCCAUGGCAUGACCACCACUAGCACUAGCGAGUUUAUUGCCUCAUACGAUGGCCGGAGUACUAAUAGUGGUGAGUAUUUUUUUUCUUCAUGAUGGGUCAAUGGAAGCAGAAGAGUGAGCGCACAUCUGGGAUCUGGAAGCAUGAACAUCUGAAAGGUGAUGAAUAGGACUUGCCAUGCGGCCGUGUUUCUUGUGCACCCAGGGUAGCAACUUCCUCCCCCGCCAAUGAUGUUGAUGGUGCUUCCUCUGGAUGAUGGCGUGGCCUGCGAGGACAGGGUGGCCCGGCCUCCUACACCAGCGACUCAAUUCACACUCACUUCUCUGAUACUGUCAGGACGCAUCCGGUAGCAAUUUUUGAAGCAAUACUAAUGAACCUGUCAUCCAUCGUCAUUCAGGUGGACCACGUCGUCAAUUUUGGCCACACGGCACAUAAGACAUGUUAUUCUUGUUGUGCACAAGCAAAUUGCAAUUCCAUUGGAAGCAAAUUGUAUCUUUGUUGAAGCAAAUUCUAACAUUUUUGGAAGCAAUUUAAUUAUAUUUUGAAGCAGUUCAAUAUUACACGAAGACCGUCCUAUAACUGUUCGGAGCACAAUAUGGUAAUACUAGAUGUGGAUUUUUACUGAUCAAAAUAAUUUGUAGUGGAAGCAAUGUUACUAGCAGCCUGACGUGGAAUAUUUUUGGAUAGGAAACACAAAUAAGUUGCACUCAAAGCAGUUGGAAACAAUGUUCUUUUAGAAAUGGAUCCCUAUUUUGUCUAAGCAUAUGUAAUCCUAAAAGUGAAAAAAAAAAUUAAUUGUUGAAAACAAAAUUGUAUUUCAUUCCAAGCAAUUCAUUACUGGCCGAAAACAAUAAUUUGAUGUUAUGGAAACAAAAUAUGUCAUUAUACUACAAGGCAAAAGGUGAUGUUAAACUGAAGCAAAUUUCAGUCAAAGUUGAAGCAAAUUCUUAUACUAUGAAAACAUUGUUUUCUCGUGUUGAAAUUUUUUCUAUAGAUUCAGAACAUUAAAUCGAAGCAAACUCCAGUCGAGUUGGAAGCAAAAUCUGCUACAUUAGAAACAUAAACGAACGGUUAAAAAAAUAUUCUCCAACCCAAUUUAUCCUAAUGGAAAAAAAACAUGAAAAGUGAUCCCACUUCAUUCACGGAGGCAAUUAUUACAAAUUAAAGAAGAAAAAUCUUACAUGGCAAAUAUAACUACCUAGGUACACCUUACCACAAGCCGUUAUAUUCAUGCAUCAAAUGCACCGGUACUCACUAAUUCAAUGGCAAGCAGCUGGUCUGAUGGAUGGCAAGGCAUCAGACGCCUGAUGCCUGGUGCCUCCCAUUAGAAUAUAAGGUAUGCGUCGUGUGGAGUGAGCCACGUGACCCAAUCCAAUAGUAGACGAGAAAACAGAAACGGUCCGUUGGAUCUGCCUUGAUGUGGGCGAGGCCGGCCGAGGCUUCGGUCGGCCGGCCACCCAGCAGGAAUCGUUUCCUUUAUAUAUAAUUCUGCUGGUUGGUUUUUUAUUUGGUCAUUUUGUUGAAAAUUUUCAUGCAUCCAAAAAUAUUCACGAAUAUGAAAAUGUCUGUGACUACAAAAAUGUUCACUAAUGUAAAGAAAGUUUGUGAAAUCAAAUAAUUUCAUCUAAAAUUUCACUAACACAAAAAUUUGUCAAUUCAAAUAAAAGUUUAGUAAUAAAAAAGAAGUUCGUUAAUUCAAGAAAAACAUUCACGAAUUUAAAAAAUGUUCAUGAUACCCACCAAUUUUUGCAAAUUUAAAAAAUCUUUACAAGUUUGUGAAUUUGUCAAAAAAGAACAACACGAACCUUUGCGGUCAUGUAGCUAGGCGAACGGCUUCCUCUUCCUGUCUUUACCGAAAAAGGCUUUGGUCCCGUUUUAUAAAUAAAGCAAACCACCGAAACACAACGUCCAACAACAACCACAAUAGACCCUCCCACACACGCAAACACACGCUAUCACCACACACACACACACCCAAGACAGGAUACAUAGGUGAGGUGAUGAGCGCACCAACACCAUCC